UCCCUGGUGGUCUAAUAGCUAAGACAUGGAGCUUUCACCACUGUAGCCCGGAUUCAAUUCCUGGUCUGGGAA
rnacentral:tRNA from 1 species